GGAAGGAUGGCAGAGUGGUUGAAUGCGCCGGUCUUGAAAACCGGAGUCCGCUUAUGCGGGCCGCAGGUUCGAAUCCUGCUCCUUCCGCCA
rnacentral:tRNA from 1 species